CGAUAUCAAUAAGCGGAGGAAAAGAAACCAACAGGGAUUGCCUCAGUAACGGCGAGUGAAGCGGCAACAGCUCAAAUUUGAAAUCUGGCUCUUUCAGGGUCCGAGUUGUAAUUUGUAGAAGAUGCUUUGGGUGUGGCUCCGGUCUAAGUUCCUUGGAACAGGACGUCAUAGAGGGUGAGAAUCCCGUACGUGACUGGGUGCCUUCGCUCGUGUAAAGCUCUUUCAACGAGUCGAGUUGUUUGGGAAUGCAGCUCAAAAUGGGUGGUAAAUUUCAUCUAAAGCUAAAUAUUGGCCAGAGACCGAUAGCGCACAAGUAGAGUGAUCGAAAGAUGAAAAGCACUUUGGAAAGAGAGUUAAACAGUACGUGAAAUUGUUGAAAGGGAAGCGCUUGCAACCAGACUUGCAUGCGGUUGAUCAUCCGAGCUUCUGCCCGGUGCACUCGAUCGUAUUCAGGCCAGCAUCGGUUUUGGUGGGUGGAUAAAGGCCUUGGGAAUGUAGCUUCUUUCGGGGAGUGUUAUAGCCCUCGGUGCAAUGCACCCUACUGGGACCGAGGACCGCGCUUCGGCUAGGAUGCUGGCGUAAUGGUUGUAAGCGACCCGUCUUGAAACACGGACCAAGGAGUCUAACAUCUAUGCGAGUGUUUGGGUGUCAAACCCAUACGCGUAAUGAAAGUGAACGGAGGUGAGAACCCUUAAGGGUGCAUCAUCGACCGAUCCUGAUGUCUUCGGAUGGAUUUGAGUAAGAGCAUAGCUGUUGGGACCCGAAAGAUGGUGAACUAUGCCUGAAUAGGGUGAAGCCAGAGGAAACUCUGGUGGAGGCUCGCAGCGGUUCUGACGUGCAAAUCGAUCGUCAAAUUUGGGUAUAGGGGCGAAAGACUAAUCGAACCAUCUAGUAGCUGGUUCCUGCCGA
rnacentral:rRNA from 1 species